AGUCACUGACAUUAGAUACCCGGGUAGUCCAGGGUGUAAACGCUGCAGACUUGGUGUUGGAAGCCCGUUUGGGGGCAUUCAGUGCCGGAGAGAAGUUGUUAAGUCUGCUACGUUGGGGAGUACGUCCGCAAGGAUGAAACUUAAAGGAGUUGGCGGGGGAGCACCGCAACGGGAGGAGCGUGCGGUUUAAUUGGAUUCAACACCGUAAACUCACCAGGGAAGACUGUUACAUGAAGGCCGAGAUGAAGACUCUGCUAGAUUUUCAG
rnacentral:rRNA from 1 species